UGGGGAAUAUUGGACAAUGGGCGAAAGCCUGAUCCAGCCAUGCCGCGUGUGUGAAGAAGGUCUUCGGAUUGUAAAGCACUUUAAGUUGGGAGGAAGGGCAUUAACCUAAUACGUUAGAGUUUUGACGUUACCGACAGAAUAAGCACCGGCUAACUCUGUGCCAGCAGCCGCGGUAAUACAGAGGGUGCAAGCGUUAAUCGGAAUUACUGGGCGUAAAGCGCGCGUAGGUGGUUUGUUAAGUUGGAUGUGAAAUCCCCGGGCUCAACCUGGGAACUGCAUUCAAAACUGACUGACUAGAGUAUGGUAGAGGGUGGUGGAAUUUCCUGUGUAGCGGUGAAAUGCGUAGAUAUAGGAAGGAACACCAGUGGCGAAGGCGACCACCUGGACUAAUACUGACACUGAGGUGCGAAAGCGUGGGGAGCAAACA
rnacentral:rRNA from 1 species